GGUUCUAUAGUGUAGUGGCUAGCACAUGGGAUUCUGAGUCUCCAGCCAGGAACAUUCCCAUAACCCCGGUUCGAUCCCGGGUAGGACCU